rnacentral:tRNA from 1 species
UCCUCAGUAGCUCAGUGUUAGAGCGGUCGGCUGUUAACUGACUGGUCGUAGGUUCGAAUCCUACUUGGGGAGA